UACGUAGGGUGCGAGCGUUAAUCGGAAUUACGUGGCGUAAAGCGUGCGCAGGCGGUUUUGUAAGCCAGGUGUGAAAUCCCCGGGCUCAACCUGGGAAUGGCAUUUGGGACUGCAAGGCUGGAGUGUGGCAGAGGAGACGUGGAAUUCCUGGUGUAGCAGUGAAAUGCGUAGAUAUCAGGAGGAAUACCGAUGGCGAAGGCAGGUCUCUGGGCUGACACUGACGCUACAUGCACGAAGCGUGGGGAGCAAACAAGGAUUAGAGUACCCCUGAUG
rnacentral:rRNA from 1 species